UUCCGGUUGAUCCUGCCGGACCCCACUGCUAUCGGGAUAGGACUAAGACAUGCUAGUCGAGCGUUUCCAAGCUAUGAUGGAAGCGCGGCGUACAGCUCAGUAACACGUGGCUAACCUGCCCUUGGGACGGAACCAACCCUGGGAAACUGGGAUUAAUGUCCGAUAGGCGAAGAUUCCUGGAAUGGAUCUUUACUUAAAAGGUGCUUUGAUCAUGCUUCCUAGCGCUGCCCAAGGAUGGGGCCGCGGCCGAUCAGGUUGUUGGUGAGGUAACGGCUCACCAAGCCGUUGACCGGUACGGGCCCUGAGAGGGGUAGCCCGGAGAUGGGAACUGAGACAAGGUCCCAGGCCCUACGGGGUGCAGCAGGCGCGAAACCUCCACAAUACACGAAAGUGUGAUGGGGUUAUCCCGAGUGCCGUCCGAUGAGGAUGGCUUUUACUCGGUGUAAGAUUCCGAGGGAAUAAAGGGGGGGCAAGACUGGUGUCAGCCGCCGCGGUAAUACCAGCCCCCUGAGUGGUAGGGGCGAUUAUUUGGCCUAAAGCGUUCGUAGCCGGCUUAACAAGUCUUUCGUUAAAUUCAACGACUUAAUCGUUGAGCUGCGUAAGAUACUAUUAGGCUAGAGGACGGGAGAGGUCGACGGUAUUCCUGGGGUAGGGGUGAAAUCCUAUAAUCCUAGGAGGACCACCAGUGGCGAAGGCGGUCGACUAGAACGUGCCUGACGGUGAUGGACGAAAGCUAGGGGAGCGAACCGGAUUAGAUACCCGGGUAGUCCCAGCCGUAAACGAUGCGGGCUAGGUGUUGGGGCAGCCACGAGCUGCUCCAGUGCCGCAGAGAAGUUAUUAAGCUCGCCGCCUGGGGGAGUACGGCGCAAGGCUGAAACUUAAAAGGAAUGCGGGGAGCACACAAGGGUGAGCUGCGAUUAAUGACUCAACGUCGUAAUCUC
rnacentral:rRNA from 1 species